GCCGAGGUGGCGAAAUGGUAGACGCAAAGGACUUAAAAUCCUUCGGGCUUACGCCUGUGCCGGUUCGAGUCCGGCUCUCGGUACCA
rnacentral:tRNA from 1 species